rnacentral:rRNA from 1 species
GAGACAGCAGUCGCCACGGUAAUACGAGGGGGGCGAGCGUUGUUCGGAAUUAUUGGGCGUAAAGGGUGCGUAGGCGGCUUGACAAGUCUUGUGUGAAAUCUAUGGACUCAACCCAUAGUCUGCACGGGAAACUGUCGGGCUUGAGAAUGGGAGAGGUGAGUGGAAUUUCCGGUGUAGCGGUGAAAUGCGUAGAUAUCGGAAGGAACACCAGUGGCGAAAGCGGCUCACUGGACCAUAACUGACGCUGAGGCACGAAAGCUAGGGGAGCAAACAGGAUUAGAUACCCCUGUAGUCCCUGUCUCUUAUAC